UGUGGUUGUUUCAUUACAGAUUGGCAUUGUUCAAUCUAUUAUUCGUGCGGCCUAUUUCAAUUUUCACUCCUUUUGUGAAAGUAAGCUUUAUCAAAUUUUCCUCUUUUCUCUUUAGUUGCUUUUGGUGUUAUUAAAGAAUGUGCAGACGUUGAAUAGUUCCAUAAGGUCAGUUGAAUUUAAUUAUUUGGGUUUGUUAAAUUUAUUGUUACAUUUCAGUUAGACCAAUUUAUUUCACCAACCUUGUCUAUAGGCCUGAAAUGAUGUUUUGAGACAUCAUUUAGCCUUGAAUUUUUGACAUCAAAUUUAUAAAAAUUUGAAAGGUUCAGUUUGUUGUUAUUAAAGAGAAUUGGUACACAUUUUUAUAAUUGGUACACCUUUUUAUAAUUGGAUGCCCCUAUAAUGCUGUUAAAAUUGGUGUAGAUAUUGUGAGUUAUAUAUAUUGUGUAAGAAUUUUGGUAACAUCAGAAUGUAUAAAAAUUCUUUAUCACAUCUGGUUUUACUUGUUGUAGUUAAUGAUUUUAUACUUGAUUAGCUCCUCAUUGGUUGAAGAAAGCAAAUUAGCUUAUCCAUUCGUGAGAUUCUUUGUGUAUUAUACUAGUAACUAUUGUUAAAGAAUUAUUGUAACCUUAGAGUGUAUGAAAAAUUCUUGAUCAGAUAUUCUUUUUACCAUUUAGAAUCAAUGAUGUUAGAUUUUACUUGUCUUCUCAUCUGUUAGAAUGAAAGAAAAUUAUCUUAUCCAUUUCCACGAGGCCUUUCCAGUACCACAAUAGUGAUACUGUAAAAAUAAACUCUUAACAAAUUAGCUUAUUUUUCUUGAGAUACUCUAUGGACUAGAGUUGUUAAAUUGUUAAGGAUCUUUGUCGACUAUAGUUAUGAUAUUAUAAAAGUAUUGCUCUGUUUUAUCCCUUCCUGGUAUGUUUUAUGUCACUGCAAGAUGGAUGCUAACAUUCCUAACACUUAUAAGUGGUAAUGUAGCCAUGACUUUGCCUUUACUUAUUUAAUUUUUGCUUUUAAAUGAGUUGCAAAAAAGAAUAAGACAAGUUGCCAUCAUUUUGGGAUUCUAACACUUUUUCUUCCUUAUGUUUCAGUUUAAAAAGGACUUUUGAAAGAAAUGGAGAUGUCUUGCCAUGUGAUAGUUGAAUAGGUUAACUUUUUUGCUAUAGUGUCCGUUCUGGAAAAGAUAGAUUCAGAUUUGCAAAGGUGAUCAUUUAUCUUGUUUAAUAGAAGUUUUAUGAGAUCUUUGUUGUUUUGGGCAAUUUCUUCUAAUUGAUGUUACUCAGUUUCUGCACUAGAUGCAGCAUGAUGAUAGCUUACAUAGAAAUGAAUUGCAAUAGUUUGUCUGGUU
rnacentral:lncRNA from 1 species